GGCUUGUUGGACCAUACUUCACCUCGCCGGUCAGCCCGUGGUGUUGGUGAUGGCGGGAGGAGAGGGGGCGGGGACGCCUCUCUAGGACACAGCCGACACAGGAACGGAUUUGGCGACGUCAGGUGGCAAGGCGCGGCCGACGAUGACACCCAUCACGGGACUGCGACGUUGUCUCUCUCGGCCAAAUUCCUCCUCCCCAUCAAACGCAUUCUCGAUCAAACGUAUCUCGACAACACGAUUCAGAAAUAUUCACGGCAUGCUGCGAAUUAAAAAAAUAAAGGAAGAGAACAUGGAAGAGCCACGUGGAGAUUGCAAAGAGGCGGAGCAGCAGCAGAUUCUCGGCAACGUAUCUAGGGGACCUUUUAUUUGUAUUGCUGAUAUGAAAUUGUGAAGAAAUAAAACGAGGCUUUAACCCUCUCAGGAAAUGAAACAGAGGUGCUGCGAUGUUCAAACACCAAUUAAGAUACCUUCUUGCGAGGGGUCAAGUCUGCGUUAACCGCACGUGCUUGUGGCAAAAACAUGCAAACCAAACAUGCUUCGGUGGUAAUCAUGAUGUACGCGUUGUCGUUGAAACCGAUUGGCCUGCACAGGAGACGGCCUUCUCGACGGCCUCGUCUCACCAAAAGGCGAACGGUACCAGGACAAUGCAAGCAUCAGAGCACGAAUAGCUCGCGUCGAGCAGUUGCAUCUACGGGAACUUUUUGUCAGUAUAAAAAAUGAUGACAAAAUAACAAAAUAGGCGUUUUACCCUUUCCGCCCAUUAAACGGGAGGUGAUAAGAUGUGCAAACUCCGAAUAAGAUAACCGUUUUGCAGGGAAUCAAGUCUGCGUUAACCACACGUUACCUGUGGCUCAGACAUGCAAACCAACUGUGCCCUGCAGCGUGUGUCGCCCCGAGACGACGUGAGACCACCCCCCGAAGAGCGGCGCAACCCUGUGUCGUACACCCCUCCUCCACCCGGCACUGAAUAGUGGUCGCGUGAACAAAAAUGAGGCCAAUUUUCACUAUUGAUCUAACUUCACUAAUUUUAUUUUCACCAGGUAAUGACCAUUGAGCUGGCCAAAAAUGAU